rnacentral:rRNA from 1 species
CCUACGGGGGGCAGCAGUGAGGAAUAUUGGUCAAUGGACGAGAGUCUGAACCAGCCAAGUAGCGUGAAGGAUGACUGCCCUAUGGGUUGUCAACUUCUUUUAUAAAGGAAUAAAACGAGGCACGUGUGCCUUUUUGCAUGUACUUUAUGAAUAAGGAUCGGCUAACUCCGUGCCAGCAGCCGCGGUAAUACGGAGGAUCCGAGCGUUAUCCGGAUUGAUUGGGGUUAAAGGGAGCGUAGAUGGGUUGUUAAGUCAGUUGUGAAAGUUUGCGGCUCAACCGUAAAAUUGCAAUUGAUACUGGCAGUCUUGAGUACAGUUGAGGUAGGCGGAAUUCGUGGUGUAGCGGUGAAAUGCUUAGAUAUCACGAAGAACCCCGAUUGCGAAGGCAGCUUACUAAACUGUGACUGACAUUGAUGCUCGAAAGUGUGGGUAUCAAACAGGAUUAGAUACCCUUGUAGUC